rnacentral:rRNA from 1 species
UCGAGCGGACCGACGGGAGCUUGCUCCCUUAGGUCAGCGGCGGACGGGUGAGUAACACGUGGGUAACCUGCCUGUAAGACUGGGAUAACUCCGGGAAACCGGGGCUAAUACCGGAUGCUUGAUUGAACCGCAUGGUUCAAUCAUAAAAGGUGGCUUUUAGCUACGACUUACAGAUGGACCCGCGGCGCAUUAGCUAGUUGGUGAGGUAACGGCUCACCAAGGCGACGAUGCGUAGCCGACCUGAGAGGGUGAUCGGCCACACUGGGACUGAGACACGGCCCAGACUCCUACGGGAGGCAGCAGUAGGGAAUCUUCCGCAAUGGACGAAAGUCUGACGGAGCAACGCCGCGUGAGUGAUGAAGGUUUUCGGAUCGUAAAACUCUGUUGUUAGGGAAGAACAAGUACCGUUCGAAUAGGGCGGCACCUUGACGGUACCUAACCAGAAAGCCACGGCUAACUACGUGCCAGCAGCCGCGGUAAUACGUAGGUGGCAAGCGUUGUCCGGAAUUAUUGGGCGUAAAGCGCGCGCAGGCGGUUUCUUAAGUCUGAUGUGAAAGCCCCCGGCUCAACCGGGGAGGGUCAUUGGAAACUGGGGAACUUGAGUGCAGAAGAGGAGAGUGGAAUUCCACGUGUAGCGGUGAAAUGCGUAGAGAUGUGGAGGAACACCAGUGGCGAAGGCGACUCUCUGGUCUGUAACUGACGCUGAGGCGCGAAAGCGUGGGGAGCGAACAGGAUUAGAUACCCUGGUAGUCCACGCCGUAAACGAUGAGUGCUAAGUGUUAGAGGGUUUCCGCCCUUUAGUGCUGCAGCAAACGCAUUAAGCACUCCGCCUGGGGAGUACGGUCGCAAGACUGAAACUCAAAGGAAUUGACGGGGGCCCGCACAAGCGGUGGAGCAUGUGGUUUAAUUCGAAGCAACGCGAAGAACCUUACCAGGUCUUGACAUCCUCUGACAACCCUAGAGAUAGGGCUUCCCCUUCGGGGGCAGAGUGACAGGUGGUGCAUGGUUGUCGUCAGCUCGUGUCGUGAAAUGUUGGGUUAAGUCCCGCAACGAGCGCAACCCUUGAUCUUAUUUGCCAGCAUUCAGUUGGGCACUCUAAGGUGACUGCCGGUGACAAACCGGAGGAAGGUGGGGAUGACGUCAAAUCAUCAUGCCCCUUAUGACCUGGGCUACACACGUGCUAC